rnacentral:rRNA from 1 species
GUAGGUAACCUGCCUGGUAGCGGGGGAUAACUAUUGGAAACGAUAGCUAAUACCGCAUAAGAGUAGAUGUUGCAUGACAUUUGCUUAAAAGGUGCAAUUGCAUCACUACCAGAUGGACCUGCGUUGUAUUAGCUAGUUGGUGGGGUAACGGCUCACCAAGGCGACGAUACAUAGCCGACCUGAGAGGGUGAUCGGCCACACUGGGACUGAGACACGGCCCAG